AAAAAGGUAAGGAUAGUAUUAGACUAGUGACAGUUGCAGAAGAGGAAUCAGUCAGGAGCUAUUAACAGUUUAAUUGAUACGCUUUUAUGAAGAAGUGGGUUUUUAACAAUUUUUUUUGAAGGAGUGGAGACUGGGUGAGCAUCUAACGGAGGAGGGAAGCGAGUUCCACAGGAACGGUGCAGCCCUCGAGAAAUCUUGAAGGCGAGCAUCAGAGGUGGGAGUACGGACAGAAGAUAGACGUAAACAUGCGC